CCCUGGCAGACCACAGUAACGGACAACACUGCUCCACUCCCUGCGGCGGACCCUACGCAACUCCAUUACUCCCCGACAGGCCGUAUUAACGGCCACAAUCCUGCUCCACUCCCUGCGGCGGAUCCUGUGCGAUCCCACCACUCCAUGAUGAGUCACGACAGCGAACGUCGCUCCACUCCCCGUAACUGACUCCACAUGGCACACCCCGGUGAUAGCCACGGGUCCACUCCACUAUUCUUCGCAGCAAACUCCGUCUGACCCUGG
rnacentral:lncRNA from 1 species